UACGUAGGGGGCUAGCGUUGUCCGGAAUCAUUGGGCGUAAAGCGCGUGUAGGCGGCUCGGUAAGUCUGCUGUGAAAGUCCAGGGCUCAACCCUGGAAUGCCGGUGGAUACUGUCGAGCUUGAGUCCGGAAGAGGCGAGUGGAAUUCCUGGUGUAGCGGUGAAAUGCGCAGAUAUCGGGAGGAACACCAAUGGCGAAGGCAGCUCGCUGGGACGGUACUGACGCUGAGACGCGAAAGCGUGGGGAGCAAACAGG
rnacentral:rRNA from 1 species